UACGGGGGGGGCAAGCGUUGUUCGGAUUUACUGGGCGUAAAGGGCGCGUAGGCGGGCGGUCAAGUCGAGGGUGAAACGCCCCCAGCUCAACUGGGGAAGUGCCUCCGAUACUGGCCGUCUCGAGGGGGAUAGGGGCGUGCGGAACUUCCGGUGGAGCGGUGAAAUGCGUAGAUAUCGGAAGGAACAUCGGUGGCGAAAGCGGCGCGCGUGGAUCCCUUCUGACGCUGAGGCGCGAAAGCCAGGGGAGCGGAACGG
rnacentral:rRNA from 1 species